ACUCCCCCACCAUACUAGUGCAGCAACAACUCUUCCUUAUCUUAGUCUCAACUUCAGCCAAGCAACGCAAGACUCACUAUCACUUUUCACCAAGAAUCUCCCAAAGAGCAGGGGAGCCUCCAUUUCAACCUGCCAAUGUUUUCAAGUUUCAAUUCAUUCAAUGCACUACAACCGAAAAGUGAGAGAAAUCACUCAUUCACUCUCUGCCAGAAACAUUAAGGUAAAAAAAUUAGUAUUGAUUCAUCAUCUCCUUCCAAUUACAACUUACAGUUAUUGAAAGAAACAAGUUUGAUCUUUCAGUUCAGUCAUUCCAGUUCUUUUAACUCAACAUCACAGCAGCCAACCAAGCCCAAAACAUUCGCAAGGUCAAGCGCGAGAGUAAGAACUACACAAGGAGUUAGAGUACCUUAGCAAAACUUUGCUAUCAGGUUGAGCUGUGAUGGGCGAUGAAGUGUUGUUGCUGAGUAGAGUUUUUGUCGAACUUAAAGUAGGCUCAGAAAGGAUACAUGUCUUCAUACAUGUAUCUCAGAUAUGCAUUCCGCUGUAAACACUGAUUAUUUCAGUUACACCUUCCGUUGCAAAUUCUGAUAAUGUUUUAGCCAAGCCCCUAACGAUGCCUUUUUUCCUUUUAAGGAAUAUAAUGCGUAUACAAGUUCUUUGAGUACCCUUUUUAUGCGAACUAUGCCUUUUUCCUUUUUAAGGAAUAUUUCACACGUAUUCAAGCUCUUUGAGUAUUCUUUUAUGCACCCCUUUCUAAACCCGCUUCGUAAUUUCCCUUCCCCAGUCAUGGUUUUCCCGGAUUAAUUAUCCUUAAUUAAGGCCGGUCGUGACAGAGUGGUA